AACGAACGCUGGCGGCAGGCUUCAUACAUGCAAGUCGAGCGGAAAGGCCCUUCGGGGGUACUCGAGCGGCGAACGGGUGAGUAACAGGUGGGUAAUCUGCCUUUCGGAGGGGGAUAACGGCUGGAAACGGCCGCUAAUACCCCGUACGGUUGUGAAGCUCUCGGGCUUUGCAAAGAAAGGGGCCUUUAAAGCCCCGCCGAAAGAUGAGCCCGCCCCCCAUUAGCUAGUUGGCGGGGUAAUGGCCCACCAAGGCUGUGAUGGGUAGCCGAGCUGAGAGGUUGAUCGGCCACACUGGAACUGAGACACGGUCCAGACACCUACGGGUGGCAGCAGUAGGGAAUAUUGCGCAAUGGGCGAAAGCCUGACGCAGCCAUGCCGCGUGGAUGAUGAAGGCCUUCGGGUCGUAAAGUCCUUUUCUGAGGGAAGAACUGCCGGGGGAGGAAAUGCCCUUGGCUUGACGGUACCUCAGGAAUAAGCAACGGCUAACUCCGUG
rnacentral:rRNA from 1 species